UUGGUGUGCUUCCAUGUUGAAAAAUAAACCAAAGGUACAACGAGUUUAUUCAUCUUUGGCAAUGCCUACAAUCCUGCGUCCUGCUUAGAGUGGAUUUAAAAACCAACAAUAGUCCCCGAAAUUAGUUGAAGAAUGAUUCAUAUUCCUCUUUCAGGCCUACAAUCUUUUGAAAUAAUGUUUAAAACACCUUUUCUUCAUUCUUGUAGGGCGACAUGAAGCAGAGAACCAGGAAGCACCGAUCCAAGGCCCACCCCCGCGGGAUGAGUCUGCCACCACAUCCGGAGCUGGUGGUGGCUUGGACACGCAUACUGCCCAGAUGAUAAUUUCAGAAAUCUUGGCGUGCAGGGAAGAAGUGGAGGAAAUAAAUCAGGCCAGCCGAGAAAUUGUACAAAGGACAAGGAGGGUGGAAAAUAAAUUACGCAAUCUAAUAGAUGUUUUGGGUAGAGUUUAAAACUACCAAAAAAAAA